rnacentral:lncRNA from 10 species
CAGGUCCCUCUCUUCUUGUUUGAAAAAAAUAAUAAUAAUAAAACGAAGACUAAAAUGAAUGCAUCCCACCAGUUGCAAUGGGCAUCGAGCCAGAAUUACAGCAAGCACUGGCGCUGCAGGGAUGGCAAACAGAAAACGGUCAACACUUCAGAGGAUUUAGAUGCCAUUCCUAAUCGCUGAGGAACAAAGUACUACGCAAAACUUCUUGAAAGAACUAUGAACCUUGAAAAUGGCAAACAGGAUGUCUGUGGUCAGGAGUUCCUUCUUAGAAAUAAACCAGCUGAAGUUAGCAAAAUCCAAAACUGCAGCUUACUCAACCUCUGAAGAACUUCUAGCUUCAUUAUAAUCCAAUUUCCAUGCUGAAUGACACUCCCACCAGUAUCAUGACAGUUGACAGUCACCAUGACAAUGACUGGAGCAGACCAAGAAAAAAUAGAAAAGAGGCAGCUCCUUGAUUCCAGGAAAGUCUCACUCCCUUCAAAAGAAAAGCAUAAAUAUUCCUCCCCUUGCUCUUCAACCCAACCCCCUAUGUUAAAGAUACCCUGUAUUUGUAACUGCCUGGUUCUCAGGAGCUGGGAAAUUAAUUUAUGAGCUAUGUUCCCACUUCUCCAAUUCCAUGAUGAUUGAAUAAAGACAGUACUGCUUGACACUCACUUUCAGUUUUGUGUAUUGGCUUUUGCAACACCAAACAGGA